rnacentral:rRNA from 1 species
GGAUUAGUGGCGAACGGGUGAGUAACACGUGAGUAACCUGCCCUUGACUUCGGGAUAACUCCGGGAAACCGGGGCUAAUACCGGAUAUGAGCCGCUCUCGCAUGGGGGUGGUUGGAAAGUUUUUCGGUCAGGGAUGGGCUCGCGGCCUAUCAGCUUGUUGGUGGGGUGAUGGCCUACCAAGGCGACGACGGGUAGCCGGCCUGAGAGGGCGACCGGCCACACUGGGACUGAGACACGGCCCAGACUCCUACGGGAGGCAGCAGUGGGGAAUAUUGCACAAUGGGCGAAAGCCUGAUGCAGCGACGCCGCGUGAGGGAUGAAGGCCUUCGGGUUGUAAACCUCUUUCAGCAGGGAAGAAGCGCAAGUGACGGUACCUGCAGAAGAAGCGCCGGCUAACUACGUGCCAGCAGCCGCGGUAAUACGUAGGGCGCAAGCGUUGUCCGGAAUUAUUGGGCGUAAAGAGCUCGUAGGCGGUUUGUCGCGUCUGGUGUGAAAACUCGAGGCUCAACCUCGAGCUUGCAUCGGGUACGGGCAGACUAGAGUGCGGUAGGGGAGACUGGAAUUCCUGGUGUAGCGGUGGAAUGCGCAGAUAUCAGGAGGAACACCGAUGGCGAAGGCAGGUCUCUGGGCCGCAACUGACGCUGAGGAGCGAAAGCAUGGGGAGCGAACAGGAUUAGAUACCCUGGUAGUC